rnacentral:ncRNA from 1 species
AGGAGCCGUAUGAGGUGAAAGUCUCAUGUACGGUUCUGCUGCUGAAUGGGAGGAGAUCAAGGCGACUUUAUUUUCGACCCCUAAU